CCGCGGCCACCGGAGGCAGGGGCACCUGCCUGCUGCGGGGCGGCGGGGUCGGCGGGUUCCCCCCGAGGGGGAGAAGGGGACCUCCGGCCGCCGGGCACCCCGGGGCCCUGGACGGGGCUGGGGGGGCGCCCCUCGCGCUGCAAGGCCCCCGAGAUUAAAAUACUGAACUUCCUACUGGGGUGAGUGGCCUGCGUGAGGAACGCAGCCAAGUCCAAGGAGGAGCCAGCCGGGUCCACCCAACUCGCCUUGAUCUUUGUACCUGUCGGCUUGCUGCUGGGGACCGUCUACCCAGGCUGCUGCGGGCUCUGGUUGUCGGCCCAGGGACCCAGCGCGGGGCCUGCAGCAGCCACUCCAUAAAUAUUUGUUAAGUGAAGCACCAGAUGAUUAAAUAAAUGAAAUUGCUGUAUUUUAUUACUAGAACGGUGUGGGCGGUUAGUCACUUAUGCUGCUGAACCUCUUGCAGGAAGAUUCUAGAGCACAGGAAGUCUGGAGAAAGGUGCCUCUAGCUGAGUUCCGGAAACAGUGUCGCCAAGUGACUCAUUUUCUAGCUGUCGAUUCAUUGUUUUUCUCCACCAAAACAACCACUAUGUUUACUUUCACGUGAUCUUGGUGUCUUUUUAAAAUCCCAAUUAUUUUUAAGAUGUGAGUGUAAAUGUUUAGUUACAUUUGCUACAAUCCAUAACCACUGGCUGCUCCAGUCUCCUCCAGGAGAUCAAUCCUGA